UGUGUACGUCUUCUUGGCUUGCCAUGUGUGAUAGUCGUAAAUGAGCUUCACUGUUAUACAAGCUGUGUUAUUCAUUUCCAAUAUUCUGCCAAAACAUGCUUGGCCAUGGGGGAAUAUUUCCUUGUUUGGAAGCAGGUAAUGGUUGGCGUUAGGAAGGGCAUCCAGCUGUAGAAACUCUGCCAGAUCAGAUUGGUGCCUGGUACAGCCUUCUGGCUGACCAGUCCUCAGUCAGGACGUCCUACUCAUACCAGCAUGGAAAGCAGAUGUUAAACGACGACAAUGAUGAGGAUGAUGAUGA